AUGAGGAGUUGCUAUUCUUCUUCUUCUCUCUGUGGGAUUUCUAGAGCGGCGUGGAGGCACGUGGUGGCCGGCACCCUGAGCCUGAGCGGCAGCCACAACCAACACCGGCACAGUCUGCGCUACUUGCCCCUCAGGCCUCCCGUGCCGCCCAUUGCCCUUGGCCUCGCUGAGCGCUUCUUCUCUUCCUCCUCGCCCAAGCGCUCCACCAAGAGAUCCGCCGCAAAGAAGGCCACGCCGCCGCCGAUGGACUCUGCCGGCGGCGACCCGUUCUAUGUCGUCCGCAAGGGGGAUGUCAUCGGCAUCUACAAGAACCUCGCCGACUGCCAAGCUCAAGUCAGCAAUUCGGUCUGCGAUCCUUCUGUGACUGUGUACAAAGGCUAUUCUCUGCGUAAAGACACCGAGGAGUAUCUCGCGGCGCGCGGGUUGAAGAAUGCUCUGUAUUCCAUUAAUGCAGCAGAUGCAAGAGAUGAAUUGUUUGAUGAUCUGGCUCCCUGCCCUUUCCAGCAACCUGAUGGAACCUCUACUUUGAAAAGGCCACAAGAGGUGGAAACUGGACCAUCAAAGAAGCAUCCCAAAGUCGCUGAACAGGAGCCAUUACCUGAUAGUCAUCUAUCCUGCAUUCUUGAAUUUGAUGGUGCUUGCAAAGGAAAUCCCGGGAAAUCAGGCGCCGGUGUAGUAGUAAGGCGGUCAGAUGGAUCUGUGAUUGCUCAACUACGUGAGGGUUUGGGUAUUGCAACGAAUAACGCUGCUGAAUAUCGUGCAUUGCUCCUGGGGUUGAGAUAUGCUGCUAAGAAGGGAUUCAAGUAUGUUCGUGCUCAAGGCGAUUCUAAGCUUGUCUGUAACCAGGUCCAAGAUCUCUGGCGUGUUAGGAAUGAUAAUAUGGCUGACUUGUGCAAGAAAGUUAAGGACCUGAAGGGAAAUUUUCUUCAGUUUCAAAUCAACCAUGUGUUGAGGGAAUUUAAUGCGGAUGCUGAUGCCCAAGCUAACUUUGCUGUUGAACUUCCUGUUGGUGAAAUUCAAGAGCAGUCAAACUUCCCAUGCUAG
rnacentral:rRNA from 1 species